rnacentral:rRNA from 1 species
UACGGAGGAUGCAAGUGUUAUCCGGAAUCACUGGGCGUAAAGCGUCUGUAGGUGGUUUGCUAAGUCUGCUGUUAAAGCUUGAAGCUCAACUUCAAAAAUGCAGCAGAAACUAGUAGACUUGAGUAUGGUAGGGGUAGAGGGAAUUUCCAGUGAAGUGGUGAAAUGCGUAGAUAUGUGGAGGAAUACCGAUGGCGAAGGCAGCCCCCUGGGAUAACACUGACGCUCAUGCACGAAAGCGUGGGGAGCAAACAGG